rnacentral:rRNA from 1 species
AAAGAGUUUGAUCUUGGCUCCGAACGAACGCGAGAAAAGGUUUUAAUACAUGCAAGUAUAUCUUAUAAGAUUUAAUCUAGAAAGAUAUGCGAACAGGUGAGUACAAAAUGAAUAAUUACCCUAAGGAAAUAGAAAAAGGAGAUGUUCAUUGAAGAUUAGGUAGUUGGUAGGAUAAAAGCCUCACCAAGCCAAAGAUCUUUAGCCAAUUUGGAAGAAGAAAUGGCCACAUUAACACUGAGACAACGGUUAGACGAGAUAACCUCGGCAGCAGUAAAGAAUUUUAGACAAUGAUGGAAACAUUGAUCUAGACCUUUUCGUGAUUGAUGAAGAAGUAAUGAAAGCUUUGUAAAAAUCUCAGCGAUUAACUAAGUUGAAAAAAUCGAUCGAGUAAAGCUAUUUUGAAUAGCUAGAAAGUGCACACUAAGAAGCGCUGACAAAAAUUUAUGCCAGCAGUCGCGGUAAGAUAGAUAGCGCAAGCGUUGUUCAUAUUUAUUAGGCUUAAAGUGUUUGUAGACGGAUCAAAUAUUCGUAAUUUUGCUCAUUAAAAAUUAGGAAUAGUAAAAGAUCUUGAGUCAUUUAGAAGAAAGUCGAAUUCUAAGAGUAGCGAUGAAAUGCUUAAAUACUUAGAGGAAGAUCAAUAAGCGAAGGCAACUUUCUAUAAAAUGACUGACGUUAAAGAACGAAAGCUAAGGGAGUGAGUAGGAUUAGAGACCCUAGUAAUCUUAGCUGUAAACGAUGAAUUUUAACUUUUAGUUCUUAACUGAAAUAGAGGUACAGCGAAAGCGUUAAAAAUUCCGCCUGAAGACUAUGACCGCAAGGUUCAAACUCAAAAGAUUAGGUUAUAGUUUAUAAAAAUGCUGAAGCAUAAUGAAUUAAUUUGAGAAUACCCAUUAAACCUUACUAGAUUUUGACAUUGAUUAAACUUAUCCAACAGGAAAGAAUAAUCAAACAGGUAUUGCAUGAUUGUUUUUAAUUUGUGUCGUGAGAUGAAGAUUAAUUUCUUUCAACAAGUGAAAGUCUGUCUCUUUAUUGCUAAGUUAAUCUAAGAAUUAACAGUACAUUAAGAGUAUUAUCACAGAAAGUGUGGUUGAAGAUAAGAGUUAAGACAAAUAACAUGGUCCUUAUAAUCUAGGCUUUACAUAUGCUGCAAUGAUCAACACAAUGAGAAGCAAAGUCGUGAGACUGAGCAAAUCUUUAAACUUGAUCUUAGUUUCGAAUUGCUCUUUGAAACUCAAGAGCAUGAAGCAGGAAUCAUUAGUAAUCGUGAGUAAGUAUAUCACGGUGAAUAUUUCAAUGAACUAGGCACUUACUGUCCAUCAUUUUCUAGAAGAAUUUUUAUCUUAAAUCUUUAAAUAGUUAAGUAAUUAACUCCCUUUGGACGUGGAUUAAAGAUUCAACUAGAAAAAAGUUGUAGCAAGGUAGUGGUAAAGGAAUUUGCUGCUGGAAAA